rnacentral:lncRNA from 1 species
AUGCCUCAGAGAAAGAGUGUUCUGUCAUUGCAAAACCUUGCUUUUAAAAGCGUGGAUACAUUAAUAACUAUCAUUGGCAACAAUUUGCUGAAGGACAAAGAAGUCUCCCAGAGUAAUUUAAAAGAGUUGAUUGUUGCUCUUCAAAUACUAUUGUAUCGUAAUACAGCUAGUUGCCUUCACAACAGGAUAACGCAACAUUGUUUACAAGCUUUAGAAAAGUUUUAUAAAUGUUACCAUCAGCAGAAUUACAAAAAAAUAGACAGGCUCACUGUAAAUUUUGAGAAAAUAGACAGGAUUAUCAAAAAUUUAGCAUUGGCAAUUCCACAGCCAACUCUAAAAGACUUAAAUAUAAAUAAUUUGUGUAUGCCAAUUCAAUCUGCCCUAAUUGAAAAUUUACAUAAGAUGUCAGGAUUGGAGUCCAUUCAUGGUCUGUCACUUCAUAUUUCAUCUGAAGAGGAAAUGCCUCAGCUAAAGAUAUUAAAUAGCCUCCAGAUCCUUUCAAAUCUUACUUACCUAGACAUGCCUGGUUGUUGCAGUGAUAGUAUUUUAGAUGUUGUCAGUAAAAAUUGUAAAUCAAUACGCUCAAUUAUUAUUCCACGGUCAGACCAAGUAACAGAUUGUUCGGUGGAUAAUUUACUCAGUUGCACGCAGCUGGAGCAGGUAGAUAUGUACAAAACAUCAGUGUCUCAGCGAGGAUUUUUUAAGCUGCUCACUGAAACAGGAUCCAAAAAUUUAAUUAAUAUCGGUAUUUGUUCCAAUCUUACUGCUGUUUUGGACUUGAUGGAAGCUUAUGUAGAGCCCUUGCGCACUUAUCAAUUGCAGUGUUUACAGUAUUGUGAUGUAGACACAGAGCAUCUAUUUUUAAUUUGCAAGUAUUUCCCUCAUUUGAUAGAGCUGAAGAUGACUCAUAGUACAGUUGUUCCAGAUCUAUUUUGUUUGUCAAGAUUGCAAAAUUUACGGAAAGUAACAUUGUCUGUAUGUGAUUUUUACUCAGAUCGUUUGAGCGAUUUUUUAACGUCUCGCGGUUCUUUCAUCACAUCUUUAUGUUUAGACGUUGUCCGGGAAUUGCAGAUGAGCUGUAUCCAACUUAUUGGCGUUUCUUGCCCCAACAUCGAGCGCCUUCAGUUUUUUGGGUGUGAAUUUUUUGAGGAUUCCGAAUUCCCAAGAAUUCAGUUUACAACCGAACCAUUUCAAAAACUGAAGUAUUUUUCAUGUGUAUCAGAUAUAUCUCUAGCUCAAGUACUGUUUGUCCUACGUUAUGCUCUCAAUCUUGAAGAGCUAGAAAUCCGGCCUGCUCAAGUUGUUACAGAUGAAUUCUUCCAGGCUAUCUUUAAUUUCAAUCCCUUAAAACAGCUUAGAGUUUUAAAAAUAGAUUAUAUAAAUUCUAUCUCUGUUGACAUGUUGAAAGUUAUCAUGACAAAUUGUGAAAAUAUUUGCUCCUUGGCCAACUUUUCCUCUUCUACAGCCAUUUCCAAAGAGGACUUAAAGUCGGUUCAGGACUGGAUCAUCUCAAAUAAUUAUGACCUAACAUUGAAUUGA